AACCUUAUGGACCUGCGGGCGUAUACCUGCGGAGGGAUCAUUACAGUAUUAGGGUGCUUCGGCGCUCUUUACACCAACCCUUUGCCUAUGCGUACCUCCAUAGCUUCCUCGGCGGGCUCGCCCCCCGCCGGCAGGAACCCCUCUAACCCCUUGCAUCUUACGCGAAAACUUCCGAUAACAACCUAAUGAAUCACAACUUUUAGCAAUGGAUCU
rnacentral:misc_RNA from 1 species